AAAAAAAACAAACACUGAUUUUCGUGUCUAAUGUUUGACCGUCCAUCUUAUUUAAAAAAAUUAAAAAGACAAGUCACGUAUAAAAUAUUAAUCAUGUUUUAUCAUCUAACAACAAUAAAAAUACGAAUUAUAAAAAAAUUUCAUAUAAAACGGACAGUCAAAGUUGAACACGGAAACUUAGGAUUUGUCUUUUU
rfam:Oryza sativa Japonica Group DNA, chromosome 6, cultivar: Nipponbare, complete sequence.